UGGCGGACGGGUGAGUAAUGUCUGGGAAACUGCCUGAUGGAGGGGGAUAACUACUGGAAACGGUGGCUAAUACCGCAUAACGUCGCAAGACCAAAGAGGGGGACCUUAGGGCCUCUUGCCAUCGGAUGUGCCCAGAUGGGAUUAGCUAGUAGGUGGGGUAACGGCUCACCUAGGCGACGAUCCCUAGCUGGUCCGAGAGGAUGACCAGCCACACUGGAACUGAGACACGGUCCAG
rnacentral:rRNA from 1 species